rnacentral:rRNA from 1 species
UUGUGAGGUUAAGCGACUAAGCGUACACGGUGGAUGCCCUGGCAGUCAGAGGCGAUGAAGGACGUGCUAAUCUGCGAUAAGCGUCGGUGAGGUGAUAUGAACCGUUAUAACCGGCGAUUUCCGAAUGGGGAAACCCAGUGUGUUUCGACACACUAUCAUUAACUGAAUCCAUAGGUUAAUGAGGCGAACCGGGGGAACUGAAACAUCUAAGUACCCCGAGGAAAAGAAAUCAACCGAGAUUCCCCCAGUAGCGGCGAGCGAACGGGGAGGAGCCCAGAGCCUGAAUCAGUGUGU